UGAAUAAAAAUUAAGAAUUAUUCUAGAUCUUUGCAGUUAAUCUAAAUUUUUUUAAAGACAGGAGGCGAAUAUUUGCUUAACCGUCUUUACUGACACCACCCAGCAGCAAAGAAAUAGUUAACAAUAUAAAGGAAAAACAACCAAUCAGAGGAGAUGGUGAAAUACAUAACCCCCAAAAAGGCCCUCCCAUAUCCUCGUUAAUGUUGCAGCUGCAUGCUGAGGACAACAGUUCAGAGAAACAGGAACAGAUGUACAUGAAGAGGAAACCAAAUGUCAACCCAGGAACAACGAAGGACGAAAUCAAACUGAAAGAAAAGAGAAAAAUCGUGACAGUACAAACUUACUGAAAAAGUGAAUUCACAUAAGCGACAUAAAAUUGGUACAAUCAAACAAUGGUUAAGUAAAUUACUACCAAAUUACUGACAUGUACAACAGAGAGAAAAAAAUAGCAGAACUAUGACCAUACGACAAUACAUUGAGUAUAAAAAUGCUAACAUAAGAAGAAAAGACAACAAAACAGGGGGUUGGGG